rnacentral:rRNA from 1 species
GAUGAACGCUAGCGGUGUGCCUAAUGCAUGCAAGUCGAACGGGAUCCUUUGGAUUCGUCUGAAGGUGAGAGUGGCGAACGGGUGAGUAACACGUAGGUGACCUGCCCCGGAGAGGGGGACAACCACUGGAAACGGUGGCUAAUACCCCAGAUGUUAUUGCGCUUAGAAAGCAAUUACUAAAGUUCCGGCGCUCCGGGAGGGGCCUGCGGCCCAUCAGCUUGUUGGUAAGGUAAUGGCUUACCAAGGCUAAGACGGGUAGGGGGCGUGAGAGCGUGACCCCCCCACACUGGUACUGAGACACGGACCAGAUACCUGCGGGUAGCAGCAGCAAGGAAUAUUGCCCAAUGGACGAAAGUCUGAGGCAGCAACACCGCGUGGAGGAUGAAGGCCUCGGUUGUAACUCCUUUCUGGGAGGAGAAGGACGGUACCCA